CACGAGGCAAUUUUUGUUGCAACUUCUGCCACAUAGAUUGAUGUACAGUAUAUUUAUAAUAACAUUGAUCACAUAGAAAGUAUUAACUGAGAUUCAGCGACCUUAAAUUUACUCUGAUUACGUUUUACAUAACAUUGCUAUAUAUGCCAGAAGUUGCAUUGCAAGUUGCACCAAAAAUUGCCUCAUGGCCUUAAUUAAACACUAUAUAUAUAUACAGUAGAUAUAUUAAGACUGUUUUAUCUUACCUCUUUGAUCUUUUA